UUAAUGUCCAGGAGAGUGGCCUUCCGCAUGGAGGGCUGACUAGAGAUUUAUCGGUAUGGGAUGAGCUCGCGUCCGAUUAGCUAGUUGGCGGGGCAACGGCCCACCAAGGCGACGAUCGGUAGCCGGCCUGAGAGGGUGAUCGGCCACAUUGGGACUGAGAUACGGCCCAGACUCCUACGGGAGGCAGCAGUAGGGAAUAUUGCACAAUGGGGGAAACCCUGAUGCAGCAACGCCACGUGUGGGAAGAAGCAUUUCGGUGUGUAAACCACUGUCAUGAGGGAAUAAGGCCCUUAUUCGUAAGGGAUUGAAUGUACCUUGAGAGGAAGCACCGGCAAACUUCGUGCCAGCAGCCGCGGUAAUACGAGGGGUGCAAGCGUUGUUCGGAAUUACUGGGCGUAAAGGGAGCGUAGGCGGAGAUUCAAGCGGAUUGUACAAUCCCGGGGCCCAACCCCGGUUCUGCAGUCCGAACUGGAUUUCUUGGAUAGUUCAGGGGCAGGCGGGAUUCCUGGUGUAGCGGUGGAAUGCGUAGAGAUCAGGAAGAACACCGAUGGCGAAGGCAGCCUGCUGGGGACUUAUCGACGCUGAGGCUCGAAAGUGCGGGUAGCAAACAGGAUUAGAUACCCUGGUAGUCCGCACCGUAAACAAUGCAUACUGGGUGUCCGGGGGUUCCCCCGGGUACCGUAGCCNACGCGUUUAAGUAUGCCGCCUGGGGAGUACGUACGCAAGUAUGAAACUCAAAGGAAUUGAC
rnacentral:rRNA from 1 species